rnacentral:rRNA from 1 species
CAGAGGGUGCAAGCGUUAAUCGGAAUUACUGGGCGUAAAGCGCGCGUAGGUGGUUGGGUAAGUCGAUUGUGAAAUCCCCGGGCUUAACCUGGGAAUUGCAGUCGAUACUGCCUGGCUAGAGUGUGGAAGAGGGAAGCGGAAUUUCCGGUGUAGCGGUGAAAUGCGUAGAUAUCGGAAGGAACACCAGUGGCGAAGGCGGCUUCCUGGUCCAACACUGACACUGAGGCGCGAAAGCGUGGGUAGCGAACAGGAUUAGAUACCCUGGUAGUCCACGCUGUAAACGAUGAGAACUAGAUGUUGGGAGGUUUAACCUCUCAGUGUCGCAGCUAACGCGUUAAGUUCUCCGCCUGGGGAGUACGGCCGCAAGGUUG